UAAAUUAAAUUUAACGUAGUCUUGGCUGACACUAUAUUAAAUAAAAAAUAAUACUACAUAAUCGAGUAUAAUUCAAUCUAAUUUUAAGAUUUAAUUCAAUUUAAUCCAAUCUUCCAAACGUAACCAUUAGAGGUGUUCGCGGAUCAGAUUUUACGGAUUGGACAUUAAUGCAUAUCCGAUCCACAAUUUUGUGGAUUAUAAUUUUUCAAUCCAAUCCAAUCCACGGAUUGAUUAAACUCAAUCCAAAUCCAAUCCGUACAUUUGCAGAUCAGAUGCGGAUUUGACUAAAUCCGCAUCUGAUCCAUACAUCUGCAGAUCGGAUGCGGAUUUAACUUAAUCCAUAUCCAAUCUACCAUUUUAUGCAUUAGUUUCCGAAUUAAAAAAAUUUAGUUCUCCUCAAUCCAUGAACUAAUGAAAUUAAAAAAAAUUAAUAUAAAAAUAAUUUUGCUACCAAUUAAAUUUAAAAUUGAAUAAAAUUUAAACAAAUUAAUUAUUUAAAUAAAACUAAAUUAAUACAUUCAAAGUUUCAAAAUAUAGUAGAUUGAGAUUAAUUGUUCAAAUAAAGCUACAAUAAUACGUUUAAAGUUUCAAAAUGUAACACACUAAGAUUAAUUGUUCAAAUAAAGCCACAAUUAAUUGAAAUGACGAAGUUUCUGAAACCUAACACAGUCUGAUCCUUCACCAAGGCUGUUGUACUUGUCGAAAAGUGGUGAUUACGGAGCCGACAACGAUGGGAACCAAGAGAAGUAUGGGUGGUGAUCUUAAAGGUUGUGAUAGUGCAAUUGUUUGGCUAGAACCAGUAAUUGUGAAGUGGUUCGAUGAACUCGGGGAAGAAGAUGGCUUGCUCUCAUUGGAAUUGUACAGCCGACGUCCUUCAAAUUGGUGUCGAGGGUGUAUCGAACCAAUAUUGGGUGUUGCUAGUGCAUGUGACGACGGGGAAGCUUAUGAUUUUUUGUUUGCAAAUUGUUGGUGACUUGAUGUUAUGCUACUUUGCUUUUGGGUGACUUUGCAAAUUGUUGGUAAUUUGGCAUUAUGUUACUUUACUUUUGUUAGUGCGUGUGACUUUACUUUUAUUUUAUUUUACAAAUUUUACAAGUUAUAUUUGUAUAUUUGAUUAUUUAAUUAUUUUAUA
rnacentral:lncRNA from 1 species